rnacentral:rRNA from 1 species
GUAGUCUUGGCCCUAAACUAUGUUCACUAGGUGUUGGGGGGUUCCCCUCAGUGCCGCAGCUAACGCAUUAAGUGAACCGCCUGGGGACUACGGCCGCAAGGUUGAAACUCAAAGGAAUUGGCGGGGGCCCGCACAAGCGGUGGAGCAUGUGGCUUAAUUCGAUGCAACGCGAAGAACCUUACCAGGGCUUGACAUGCCUCUGCAAGCCGGUGAAAGCCGGUCGCCUUCGAGGGUGAGGCACAGGUGGUGCAUGGCUGUCGUCAGCUCGUGUUGUGAAAUGUUGGGUUAAGUCCCGCAACGAGCGCAACCCUCAUGUCUUGUUACCAGCGAGUAAAGUCGGGGACUCGAGACAAACUGCCUCUGUAAGGAGGA